AUGAUAUUUUGCCACUAUAUAGCUCAGACGCUGUACGGACCCUGCCAACAGUUUACUCAGUGGCUUCAGUUUCCUGUCCUUGCUGGCCUCCUCACUCAAGUCUGCCUUGAAUUCUUCCCUCUGAGAUGUUUCUGGUAUCAGGAGGAAUUUGAAAUCAGUAUACGGGCAAGUUUCUUUUCCAAGCAUGGAGGACUUCACUUAUUUCUUUAGCAUCAGCCAUCUCUGAGGGACAGACUUUCCCGACCACUGCAUCUAGCUGCCUUCCUCCCAUAUUUAAUUCUGCUUGUACAUUCAGCUAGACUGUUCAGUAUUGUCUUACCUUUGCAGAAGUUUUCUGUUUUCUUUAGAAAACAGACAUCCCUUCCUCAGAGAUUGAGGGCAACACCCCUAUUACAAACCAGCUACUGCUGGUUGGCUUUCAUCACUUGUGGCUGCAUCUCCC
rnacentral:lncRNA from 1 species